AUCAACACUUCGAGAAGAAGAUUAGCCUUAGCGCAAGCGUUGCAGAGAACCCGGAUGGUGAAAAAGGGGCGUUGGCAAAAAGGUGAAGAUGAGCUUCGAAUAGUGAUUCGUGCGGAUAACGCCUGCGGAUCGGUUGCAGCCGUUAUCCUGCCAGGUAUCAACAGGUACUGGAGGCGAUGUUUCGGCAUUGCAAACGAGGGUGGUAACACGGCAUGGCCGUCCCUUGA
rnacentral:ncRNA from 1 species